GCUGGGUGUGGUGGCUCACGCCUGUAAUCCCAGCACUUUGGGAGGCUGAGGCGAGUGGAUCACCUGAGGUCAGGAGUUCGAGACCAGCCUGGCCAACAUGGUGAAACCCCGUCUCUA
rnacentral:SRP_RNA from 2 species